rnacentral:rRNA from 1 species
CCUACGGGUGGCAGCAGUGAGGAAUAUUGGUCAAUGGACGCGAGUCUGAACCAGCCAAGUAGCGUGAAGGAUGACUGCCCUAUGGGUUGUAAACUUCUUUUAUAUGGGAAUAAAAUGUUCCACGUGUGGGAUUUUGUAUGUACCAUAUGAAUAAGGAUCGGCUAACUCCGUGCCAGCAGCCGCGGUAAUACGGAGGAUCCGAGCGUUAUCCGGAUUUAUUGGGUUUAAAGGGAGCGUAGGUGGAUUGUUAAGUCAGUUGUGAAAGUUUGCGGCUCAACCGUAAAAUUGCAGUUGAAACUGGCAGUCUUGAGUACAGUAGAGGUAGGCGGAAUUCGUGGUGUAGCGGUGAAAUGCUUAGAUAUCACGAAGAACUCCGAUUGCGAAGGCAGUUCACUGGACUGCAACUGACGCUGAGGCUCGAAAGUGUGGGUAUCAAACAGGAUUAGAUACCCUUGUAGUC